rnacentral:rRNA from 1 species
GAUGAACGCUGACAGAAUGCUUAACACAUGCAAGUCUUUGGCGAAGCUGUGCUUGCACAGCCUAGCCAAGGCGGACGGGUGAGUAACGCGUAAGGAACUUGCCCUGCAGUCAGGGAUAACAGACGGAAACGACUGAUAAGACCUGGUAAAGUCAGGCGGACUCAUGUCCAGCCUGAUGAAAAGAGAUGCUGCAGGAGAGCCUUGCGUCCUAUUAGCUUGUUGGUGGGGUAACGGCCCACCAAGGCGAUGAUAGGUAGCCGGCCUGAGAGGGUGGACGGCCACAAGGGGACUGAGAUACGGCCCUUACUCCUACGGGAGGCAGCAGUGGGGAAUAUUGGACAAUGGGGGCAACCCUGAUCCAGGAAUUCUGUGUGCACGAUGAAGGUUUUCGGAUUGUAAAGUGCUUUCAGCAGGGAAGAAAAAAAUGACGGUACCUGCAGAAGAAGCGACGGCUAAAUACGUG